UGCAUUGAUCUGAAAAGCAAGUCCACACAAUUUCUUCUUUACUUGCUUCUACAUUUCUUAGUUUCUUCCAACCAAAAGUUUAGCAUUUUUAGCAAGAACGGUUGCUUCGGAUUAUCUUCUUGGCUACUCAUGUGUUUUUUUUUUUUUCCUUCGUAAGAGCAGUAGCAUGACUACAGUCAAUCAGUCUAAAUUCUAAACAUUUGUUGCUAAUUUGGGGAUUUGGCUUUGUUUUUGGAGAGAGAGGACCGGUUCUUCUAUGAUAUAUCUGAUCAAGAUCGUGAAUGACAACAAUCAAACUCCGAGGCUUGUUUGUUUAAAAUUUGCUUCCUUACUUGCAUCAUAUGAUCAACUUGAGUACAUUUUGUGCUGCCAAAGUGUGUUCUUGACAGUUUAAAAGACUUAUGUCACUGAUGCCUCAUUGUUAAAGGCCAUUACCAAGUUUUUGAAUGCCAUGGAGAUGAACGAUAUCUAGAAGCAGAUUUUUAGGACAAUUUGGACAUUACCCAGUUGCAAAACGGACCUUGAGUAAAAGACAACAGAUAUAUUAUAAACAAUAUUCAGAAAACUAUAUGAGUUUGGGGGCCAGGACGGUCUGUGGCCUCUUAUUAUCUCCUCUGCUUCAAUUAGUGUGUAUCCUUUCUUGAAUCAGAGUCUAUCAAGAAGUGUAUGCUUUUCAGACCAGGGUCUUUCCAAUGGAGAUGUUAGGUUCGAUUGUUGGAAACAUAAUAUCUUUAGUAGGAAAAUAUUGCAAUUAUCACAUAGAGGCUGAUGAACAUGUGAAGAAUCUCAAGAGAAAAUCAGAAUUAUUAGAAAGCCGGGAGGAAGACAUAAAAUCAAAAUUGGAUUUAGAACUUCACCCAGGAAAGAAACCAAAGCAAGAAGUUAAACUUUGGCUUCAAAAUGUAGAAAAAAUUAAGGAUGACAUAGACAUUGGACAGGAACCUGCCAGAUGGAUGUUAACCUCACAUAUGCAGAGAGGAGAACGAGCCUUUAAGAAGACAAAAUUGGUGGAAGAACUUUAUCAAGCUGGUGAUUUCACUGAUGGUUUGGUUAUUGAUCUGCCCAAAUGCAUUGGGAAAAUGAUGCCACCACCGACCUUAGUGGGAGAAAGCACAGCCCACAGAACAAAGGAAGAUAUUUUGGCAUGCUUGUUAGAUAAUGAUGUUGGAAAGAUUAGUGUUUAUGGCAUGGGUGGCAUUGGCAAAACGACUGUCAUGAAAGAAGUUAAUAAUUUCUUUUUAAAUGAGUCAAACAAAUUUGAAAGUGUAAUUUGGGUGACUGUAUCAAAGGAAUUUGAUCUUAUCAAACUACAAAAUGACAUUGCCUGCAGGUUGAAAUUAGAACUCCCAAAGUUUGAGGAUGAAAUAAUAAGGGCAGCAGAGUUAUACACAGCAUUGAAAGAUAGGAAGUAUGUGCUAAUCCUAGAUGAUUUGUGGGAAGCAUUUGCUCUUGAGGAUGUAGGAAUUCCAGAGCCUACUUCAACAAAUGGAUGCAAAUUAGUAUUGACGACUUGCCUUCUUGAUGUUUGUCGAGGAAUGAGUUGCAAAGAGAUCAAAAUGGAGCUACUUUUGAAAGAGAAGGCACGAAAGUUGUUUUUAAAUAAAAUGGGUCAUGAUGUUUUUAAUAUUCCAAAUUUGAAACAUAUUGCAGAAGAGGUUCUUAAAAGUUGUGCUCAGUUGCCUCUUGCAAUUAUAAUGAUAGCUGGAAGUUUCAAAAGCUUAUUUCAUGAUUUUGAGUGGAGGAAUGCAUUGGAAGAGUUGAGGACAUCAGUACAGGGGUCUAACAAUAUGGAGGAGCAGGUACUUCAGACACUUAAGUUCAGUUAUGAGCGAUUGAAAGAAGAAAAACUUAAACAGUGUCUGCUGCAUUGUGCACUAUACCCUGAAGACUUUCAAAUUAACAAACGAGAGUUGAUAGAACAUUUGAUUGAUGAGGGAAUUAUUGCAAGAAUGAAGAGUAGAGAAAUAGCUUUUGAUAGUGGCUACUCGAUAUUGGAGAAACUUGAAAAUGCUUGCUUAUUAGAAGGUGGAAGUGAUAAAUAUUAUGAUGAUAAGGAAAAGUUUGUGAAGAUGCAUGAUUUGGUAAGAGACAUGGUUCUGCAGGUUGCAAGUCCUGAAUUUAUGGUAGAAGGUCACUUGGAUUUUUCAGCUGAAGGAAAAUGGAGAGAGAAUCUCGUAAAGGUUUCUUUGAUGUACAACAAAAUAUCAAGAAUUCCUUCUAAUGUAUCACCAAUUUGUCCUAACCUUUCAACCUUGUUGCUACAAGGUAACUGGUCAAUAGAAAAUGUCCCAGAUUCUUUGUUUGAGCAUUUGCAUAGGCUCAAGGUUCUUGAUUUAUCAUAUACUGCUAUUGAAUCUCUGCCGAUUUCUAUCUUUAGCUUGGAGAAUCUUGCUACAUUAAGGCUUAGAAGGUGUGGAAACUUGAAGCAGGUGCCUUCAUUAGCAAAACUUACAACAUUGAGGAAGUUAGACCUUGGGGAAACAGGAAUUACGGAAGUACCUAAUGGUUUAGAAAUGUUGGUCAACUUGGAAUUCCUCGAUCUGAACGCAUAUGAACUAAAAGUAAUGCCACUUGGGAUUUUACCAAAACUUUCUCAUCUACAGUACCUCAAGGUUUAUUGGGGUUCGAAGGCAACAGUAGUGAAUGAAGAGGAGAUGGCAAGCUUAAAGGAAUUGGAGACUUCUGCAGGCAGUUUUGAUGAUGUGGACAAGUUCAAUAUGUAUAUCAAAUCCUUGGAGAACAGGCGACUUUCAUGUUACCAAAUUCAAGUGGGGAUGCGGGGGGAUGGCCCCUACGUAUUUUUUAUACCUUUAUUUGGCUUUAUUGGCAAAAAAGUAAUUUUCGAAAACUGCAAUUUAAAAGGAGGAGAUGAGUCCUUAGUGCUACUGGAAGACCUACAAUUCCUAGAAAUCGGAAGAUGUGACGAUUUAAGAAGUUUAUGUGAUGUUCCAUCUUUGAAGCAUACAAGUAAAUUACAACGCAUAAGUGUAGAUCGGUGCGAAGGAAUAGAGCACGUUCUUUCUUUUUCUUCUUCUUGUACCCUUCCUCUUCUUCAAACUCUCGAGACAUUAGAGCUUGUGUGUUCGGAUAGCUUACGAGUCUUGUUUAAGAAAGAGAGAGCUGCAUCGGCAUGGGUCCCAUCUGACACCUUUUCCCGUCUCAAAAUAAUUUAUAUAAGCUUCUGUUCUAAGAUAAAGAAGUUGCUUCCGCCUGGGUUGCUGCCACACCUGCGCAACCUGGAAGAGAUUCAUAUCGACUAUUGUUUGGAAGUAGAGGAAAUAAUAGGAGAAGCAAGUGAUGAAUUUGAAGAAAAAAAGGAGGAAGGAAUGGACACUACCAAAAUCACUCUCCCCAAAUUGAGGGUUUUACAAUUGCAUGACCUAUAUGGACUGAAGACCAUUUGUAGUAGCAGUAAAGUAAUAGUUUGUGAUUCUCUUGAAUGGAUUCAGAUAUGUAGCUGUCCGAAGCUGAAGAGACUCCCUCUCUCUCUGCCCCUUCUUAGUAAUGGACAACUAUCUCCUCCCCCUUCUCUUAAAAAGAUUUCAGCAAGAGAAGCGUGGUGGGAAUUGCUAGAGUGGGACUGUCCUAACACUAAGAAUGUCCUUCAACCCUUUCUUUUGUAGUAGCUAAUUACGAAGCACGGGUAUGUCUCUCUCUUCACUCUCACAAUCAAUUUGUAGUUUUCGUACUUUAUCUUCCUAUCUUUUCUCUAAUAUAUUUCUGAAAUUCCCUUUAAUGCCCCUGUUACGUCUAGACCAACCAUCUAUUAAUCAUAUCUUCCCUGUAAGUAAGACCAAAUGUGUAUGUGCUCUUUACUUCCUUGUCAGUCUUGUAAAAUUGGUUUCACAAGUGGUUUUAUUUUCCCGUUUUGGUUUGAUAUAGGAUUGGCUGACAAACCAAAGCUGACAUGAAAUGAAAUGUUUCUAUGGUGUGUGCAAGUGCCAACAAGGAGAACUUCACUCUCAAACGAUAUGUAGCCAAGUUAAAGCUGACAUGAAAUGUUUCUGUGGUGUGUGCGAGUGAGAUUGCGAGCAAGGAGAACUUCACUCUUAAAAAGUAUUUAUGUGUGAUUUUAUUCCUCGUCUUCUUAUUUGCUUAUUAUUAUAAACUCUGUUGUGUUAUGAAUGUGUGUUUCUCUUUCCAUAAGUUGAACAAUCUUCUGUAAUAAUCGAUACUCUGCGUAAUUUGUGUUGAUACUCACUUUCUGUUUCUCUUUGCUCUGUUGGCUUGUGGAGAAAAAUAAUACAGAGAAAUUUUUUAUGA